rnacentral:lncRNA from 1 species
AUAGACUAAAAAUAUUCUUAAUUCAUUCUUAAAUUUUUUUUUCUUUCUUUUUAGUUUAAUUAGGUUUUAUUAUUUUGUAUGCCCUUUUAAUUUUGUACUCGUUAAUUAAGAUUUAGAUAUUUUAUUAUGUACCCCCCAUCCCGAAGCCAUGUAAUAGCGUAGUCUUAUUUUUCGCACUUUAAUUUUUCCGUACUGUGAAUAUAACUGUUUAGAUGUAUG